AUCUGGGAGGCCACAAACCAUGGAAGCUGUACGCAUGGCGUAGUGGACUAGCGGUUAGAGGAGACCCCUCCCUUGCAAGCCGCAGCAACAAUGGGGGCCCAAGGUGAGAUGAAGCUGUAAUCUCACUGGAAGGACUAGAGGUUAGAGGAGACCCCCCCGAAAUAAAAAACAGCAUAUUGACGCUGGGAAAGACCAGAGAUCCUGCUGUCUCCUCAGCAUCAUUCCAGGCACAGAACGCCAGAAAAUGGAAUGGUGCUGUUGAAUCAACAGGUUCU
rnacentral:lncRNA from 1 species